rnacentral:rRNA from 1 species
AUUGAACGCUGGCGGCAGGCCUAACACAUGCAAGUCGAGCGAGCGGCGGACGGGUGAGUAAUGUCUGGGGACUGCCCGAUAGAGGGGGAUAACUACUGGAAACGGUAGCUAAUACCGCAUACUAUCGGCUAACCCAAAUGGGAUUAGCUAGUAGGUGAGGUAAUGGCUCACCUAGGCGACGAUCCCUAGCUGGUCUGAGAGGAUGACCAGCAACACUGGAAAUGAGACACGGCCCAGACGACUACGGAGGCAGCAGUGGGGAAUAUGGCACAAUGGGCGCAAGCCUGAUGCAGCCAGGCCGCGUGUAUGAAGAAGGCCCUAGGGUUGUAAAGUACUUUCAGUCGGGAGGCGUUACCGGCAGAAGAAGCACCGGCUAACUCCGUGCCAGCAGCCGCGGUAAUUC